CGGAGCUUGCUCCACCGGAAAAAGAAGAGUGGCGAACGGGUGAGUAACACGUGGGUAACCUGCCCAUCAGAAGGGGAUAACACUUGGAAACAGGUGCUAAUACCGUAUAACAAUCGAAACCGCAUGGUUUUGAUUUGAAAGGCGCUUUCGGGUGUCGCUGAUGGAUGGACCCGCGGUGCAUUAGCUAGUUGGUGAGGUAACGGCUCACCAAGGCCACGAUGCAUAGCCGACCUGAGAGGGUGAUCGGCCACAUUGGGACUGAGACACGGCCCAAACUCCUACGGGAGGCAGCAGUAGGGAAUCUUCGGCAAUGGACGAAAGUCUGACCGAGCAACGCCGCGUGAGUGAAGAAGGUUUUCGGAUCGUAAAACUCUGUUGUUAGAGAAGAACAAGGAUGAGAGUAACUGUUCAUCCCUUGACGGUAUCUAACCAGAAAGCCACGGCUAACUACGUGCCAGCAGCCGCGGUAAUACGUAGGUGGCAAGCGUUGUCCGGAUUUAUUGGGCGUAAAGCGAGCGCAGGCGGUUUCUUAAGUCUGAUGUGAAAGCCCCCGGCUCAACCGGGGAGGGUCAUUGGAAACUGGGAGACUUGAGUGCAGAAGAGGAGAGUGGAAUUCCAUGUGUAGCGGUGAAAUGCGUAGAUAUAUGGAGGAACACCAGUGGCGAAGGCGGCUCUCUGGUCUGUAACUGACGCUGAGGCUCGAAAGCGUGGGGAGCAAACAGGAUUAGAUACCCUGGUAGUCCACGCCGUAAACGAUGAGUGCUAAGUGUUGGAGGGUUUCCGCCCUUCAGUGCUGCAGCUAACGCAUUAAGCACUCCGCCUGGGGAGUACGACCGCAAGGUUGAAACUCAAAGGAAUUGACGGGGGCCCGCACAAGCGGUGGAGCAUGUGGUUUAAUUCGAAGCAACGCGAAGAACCUUACCAGGUCUUGACAUCCUUUGACCACUCUAGAGAUAGAGCUUCCCCUUCGGGGGCAAAGUGACAGGUGGUGCAUGGUUGUCGUCAGCUCGUGUCGUGAGAUGUUGGGUUAAGUCCCGCAACGAGCGCAACCCUUAUUGUUAGUUGCCAUCAUUUAGUUGGGCACUCUAGCAAGACUGCCGGUGACAAACCGGAGGAAGGUGGGGAUGACGUCAAAUCAUCAUGCCCCUUAUGACCUGGGCUACACACGUGCUACAAUGGGAAGUACAACGAGUCGCGAAGUCGCGAGGCUAAGCUAAUCUCUUAAAGCUUCUCUCAGUUCGGAUUGUAGGCUGCAACUCGCCUACAUGAAGCCGGAAUCGCUAGUAAUCGCGGAUCAGCACGCCGCGGUGAAUACGUUCCCGGGCCUUGUACACA
rnacentral:rRNA from 1 species